UAUUGGACAAUGGGCGAAAGCCUGAUCCAGCCAUGCCGCGUGAGCGAAGAAGGCCUUCGGGUUGUAAAGCUCUUUCGGCGGGGACGAAACGGUUCGUGCUAAUACCACGGACUACUGACGGUACCCGCAGAAGAAGCACCGGCUAACUACGUGCCAGCAGCCGCGGUAAUACGUAGGGUGCAGGCGUUAAUCGGAAUUACUGGGCGUAAAGCGUGCGCAGGCGGUUUGUUAAGACAGGUGUGAAAUCCCCGGGCUUAACCUGGGAAUUGCGCUUGUAACUGGCAGACUGGAGUGUGGCAGAGGGGGGUGGAAUUCCAAGUGUAGCAGUGAAAUGCGUAGAUAUUUGGAGGAACACCGAUGGCGAAGGCAGCCCCCUGGGCUAACACUGACGCUCAUGCACGAAA
rnacentral:rRNA from 1 species